UACGUAGGGUGCGAGCGUUAAUCGGAAUUACUGGGCGUAAAGCGUGCGCAGGCGGUUCGUUGUGUCGGCGGUGAAAGCCCCGGGCUCAACCUGGGAAUGGCCGUUGAAACUGGCGAACUGGAGUGUGGCAGAGGGGGGUGGAAUUCCGCGUGUAGCAGUGAAAUGCGUAGAUAUCGGGAGGAACACCAGUGGCGAAGGCGACUAUCUGGGCUGCAACUGACGCUGAGGCGCGAAGGCUAGGGUAGCAAACAGG
rnacentral:rRNA from 1 species